UUGCACAGGCUGUUGCUGGCCCUCAAGGGUAUGUGCACGCUUGUCAUCUUUAUCUCUCCAACUGUGCACAUAUUGUAGACCUGGAGUCCCUGUUGAUUCAUUUCGAGUUGGGACUGCUGUGCUUUGUACUUCAGAGUCAGCUUUGCCUUUUUCAUACCCAGGUCUAUGUCAUUUUCACAACCUCUUGAAUGUGUUUAGAAUGUCGAAUCAGGUCUUUUUGUACCUAUAAAGUUAAAUAUACAACUUUCAGCAACGGAUCUCUUGGCUCUCGCAUCGAUGAAGAACGCAGCGAAAUGCGAUAAGUAAUGUGAAUUGCAGAAUUCAGUGAAUCAUCGAAUCUUUGAACGCAUCUUGCGCUCCUUGGUACUCCGAGGAGCAUGCCUGUUUGAGUGUCAUUUAAAUUCUCAACCACAUCAAUUUAUUUGGUGAGGCUUGGAUGUGGGGGUGUUUUUGCGGGCUUCUGUAAAUUUGAAGUCGGCUCCCCUAAAAUGCAUUAGUGGUAUCUGAGCAGAAGAAACUACUACAGGUGUGAUAAUUAUCUACGCCUCAGUAUCCUGCACAAUCAGAUUGUGCUGCUUCUAACGAGUGGAGAUUCCUUUCGGGGGACCACAUUUGUUGAAUUUGACCUCAAAUCAGGUAGGACUACCCGCUGAACUUAA
rnacentral:rRNA from 1 species